AAGAGAAACACUACCAAAGAAAUUAGUCAAGCCAUACUCUUUAUUAUAUUCAUUUCGUGAAGAGCAAUAACAGUAUAAGCAAAGACGACUCCUAGAACAGAUUCACAGAGCUCGAUUUUUCUCAAUUUCAACUAGACCAAGCACAGCACGAACAGUGUUGAGUUUCAUUAAUUAAAAUGUUUUGGGAGUGCUAAUUCUUGUAUGAAUUUGCACAGGUAUGAAUUAUCUGAACUUGAAUAAGAUAUAUUCUAACAAAAUUUCUUAUGCCAAUAUACAAAGCAUAUUUCUACAGUUCUAAAGCAGCCUAGUUUACGUAAAAUCAGGUACAUGCACACAAACCAAGUGAAAACUGCACAACAGGGUUUUCAUGGCAAUGUCAUCACAUAUUCUCCAACAGCCACAGUCAGGUUCUUCAGCAACACAAUACAAACCUUCCCCCAACACCAAUACUUUGACUUUCAUAAGCUGUAUAUCACUUCUUAUUUUAAUGUUCAGCUGCAAAAGCUGUGCUAGGCUACUUCACCAGAGAGGCUAGAACAUCUGGCCUAAAGCUUUAGGUCACAUUUAAAUUAGUUAAGUAAUAAUAAUAUAAUGCAAUGAAAGUGCUGUGAGCAAACAAAAUUCAACACUGUUUUGAAUUAGCCAUAACCGUGAAAUAUGCAAGUUUAAAGUACGAUGAGUUCAACUCCAUACUAAUGCACCAUGCUUUCCACAGUUUAAAAAAAUUAUGGAAAAAAUAAAAAUGACAAGACCACAUUGCAGCUUCAAGCUUGUUUGUCACCAGGAGACCAGUUCUGCUUAUAAGUAAAUUUGUGUUUGUGGUCACUAAGCACUUGCAAAACUCUCCAUGCCGUUAUGCAGCUUGAUGGUGUUUAUACUUCUAUUAUGAUAAGAUGGUAAUUGCUCUAAUGUGAAGUGUAUCCUUGCCUACACGAGUCUUCUUGCAUGGUCAAAUUCACAGAUGACUUAAACUGGUAUAAUCUAGAAACGUAAAGGCAGCUACUGUAAUCGCCCUACUUUCUGUUGAUGCUCUGCUCGCCAGCCCUCACCUUCAGUAUCACUGAACUUCUGUCUUGUUGCUGGUGACUGCAGCUCAUGCCUAGGAGCAGGAACUCAACCAGCAAUGUGGCAGCCUUCAUACUUUUACAUUAAUCAUUGUCACUUCUUUCAGCAACAUACUGUAACCACCUUUUUAUCAAUGAUCAUCAAUAUUUCUUUAAAAAUUUGGCUCUUUAUCUGAAAAUGAGUAUCGAAAUAUGACUACAUAGCAUAUUUUUAAUUCAAACUGACAGGACUUCUUAUAAAUACUGUCGACUAAGCAUCAGCUUGUUCUGGGCAAUUUUUAGGCAUUAUGCACCUCAAUUUGGUUUAUCUUUCAGAGUGCUAUCUUUGUUUUUCAAGGUUCAGUUGACGAACCUGUUUAAUAUGCAAUGAAAAAGGCAAGGGCACUACAGAACUGUAUCAGAAACUAAAGAGAUAAAACAACAAUAACACCAUCCAUAAUGAAUCACAACUAUACUGUAACACCAACACUCUUGGUAACCUGCAGCACCUAACAGUCAGGUGCAUAAAAACAAAAUGUCAAAGCGACCAAAUCAGAAAAGAACAAGAAGCUGAAACUGGAACUCAGCUUCAGUCAA
rnacentral:lncRNA from 1 species